rnacentral:rRNA from 1 species
GAUGAACGCUGGCGGCGUGCCUAACACAUGCAAGUCGAGCGAUUCUCUUCGGAGAAGAGCGGCGGACGGGUGAGUAACGCGUGGGUAACCUGCCUCAUACACAUGGAUAACAUACCGAAAGGUAUGCUAAUACAGGAUAACAUAAGAGAUUCGCAUGUUUCUCUUAUCAAAGCUCCGGCGGUAUGAGAUGGACCCGCGUCUGAUUAGCUAGUUGGUAAGGUAAUGGCUUACCAAGGCAACGAUCAGUAGCCGACCUGAGAGGGUGAUCGGCCACAUUGGAACUGAGACACGGUCCAAACUCCUACGGGAGGCAGCAGUGGGGAAUAUUGCACAAUGGGCGAAAGCCUGAUGCAGCAACGCCGCGUGAGUGAUGAAGGUCUUCGGGUCGUAAAACUCUGUCCUCAAGGAAGAUAAUGACGGUACUUGAGGAGGAAGCCCCGGCUAACUACGUGCCAGCAGCCGCGGUAAUACGUAGGGGGCUAGCGUUAUCCGGAUUUACUGGGCGUAAAGGGUGCGUAGGUGGUUUCUUAAGUCAGGAGUGAAAGGCUACGGCUUAACCGUAGUAAGCUCUUGAAACUGGGAAACUUGAGUGCAGGAGAGGAAAGUGGAAUUCCUAGUGUAGCGGUGAAAUGCGUAGAUAUUAGGAGGAACACCAGUAGCGAAGGCGGCUUUCUGGACUGUAACUGACACUGAGGCACGAAAGCGUGGGAGCAAACAGGAUUAGAUACCCUGGUAGUCCACGCCGUAAACGAUGAGUACUAGGUGUCGGGGGUUACCCCCCUCGGUGCCGCAGCUAACGCAUUAAGUACUCCGCC